rnacentral:lncRNA from 1 species
GACCUCUAUAUUAUGAUUCUUUGCUAUGUUCCUUAAAAUAGAUUGAUGAUUAAUCAUUUAUCCUUCAAUCCGUCAUCUGUGUCACGAUCAUAUUAAUUCUUUUUUCUGUCUAAACGCAGGCUUUUAUCACACAAGAUUCUGCUGACCGUGACCUUUUGUUCAGAAACCUUAAGUCAUUUGAUGUUGUCGUAAUUAACCACGUUGCUGAUGGAAAUCGCAACCCAGAGCCAUUUAAUAUUUCUCAAGAGAUGUCAUCCAUGGGUCUAUAUUCAAGGCUUGACCAAGUUUUUGACGCUCCACAUGCCGUCAAAGAGGUUUUGAUUGGGCAAGCGGGUCUUGAA